CAUUCCUUUAAAUCCAGUCCCGAGAGGCUGGCAAGGCAUAGAACGCUGUUUUGGCUGCCCAAAAUCGGCAUCCGUCCGGCUUCUUGUCUCUGCUACCUCUCCAUAGGUAACGUGAGUCAAGAAGCUUUUUCUU
rfam:Brevibacillus parabrevis strain CN1 contig_33, whole genome shotgun sequence.